rnacentral:rRNA from 1 species
UACCAGCACCCCGAGUGGUCGGGACGUUUUAUUGGGCCUAAAGCAUCCGUAGCCGGUUCUACAAGUCUUCCGUUAAAUCCAACUGCUUAACAGGUGGGCUGCGGAAGAUACUAUAGAGCUAGGAGGCGGGAGAGGCAAGCGGUACUCGAUGGGUAGGGGUAAAAUCCGUUGAUCCAUUGAAGACCACCAGUGGCGAAGGCGGCUUGCCAGAACGCGCUCGACGGUGAGGGAUGAAAGCUGGGGGAGCAAACC